CCUGAGACGUGGAGGUUGCAGUCAGUUGAAAUUGUGCCACUGCAUUCCAGACUGGGUGACAGAGCAAAAUGUCAUCUCAAAAAAAAAAAAAAAAAAUUAGUGGGGACCAGAGAUAGGGGAUGGCAGAAGGCUCAGGGCUCCACAAGGGGACCCCAUCCCACAAACACCCCAAACCUAGUAAGUUCUACUUAAAUUCAGGAUGUUUGGCAUGAGCAAGUCCCUAAUGAAAAUAAAAAGUGGCUUUCAGCACCCCGAGACCCAUGUUGCCCAACUGAACUGAGGUCUGUGCCUCCAGGGCAGUGAAGCCAAACAUUCAAACUGAGGUUUUGUAGUGAGAGAAAGGAGGGUGUUUAUUUUCAGGGCACCCAGCAAGGAGAAUCAGGCAGCUCACCUGACCUUCCCAGUGGCUUGCAAGCAAGGGUUUCUAAAGGCAGGCAGGCAGAGGUUACACACAAAGUCAUAAGUCAAUACAUGGAGGCUACAUAUUGGUUUGACCUUAACACACAGGAUAUCUUGAAGCAGGGGCUUACAGGUCACGGGGUAGGGGAUUCAACAAUUUUCUGAUUUGCAGUUGGUUAAGGAAGGGAAGCUCUAUUUAAAAAUUGAGAGUCAGCAUUAAAGAACGUUAGGUCUGGCCCAUGGGCGUGACUUCCUUCAGGUCCUUCAAGAAAAAAUGCAGAACAAGAAAUAGCAGUCAGAGUUCAGUCCUCAGUUUCCCCUUUUCUGAGGUCUGCGUGCCAGCAGAUCCAUUUGGUAGAGGUCUGGGUUUCUGAAAAAUAACUCAGGAACAUAUGUUAAGAUGUAUCUUCAGUUUCUAUAGGGAACCAAACAUCUCAUGGCUCUAAUUUUAUUGCUAUUGUUUUAUGGUAUGAUUACCUUUUUACUUAUGAAGUUGCUCAUUAAUUUCUCAGGGAUAGCUAGGUGCCUGCAAUUUUCCUUAAAGGAACUCAAGAUUUUUAUUUCCACACUGUGGAGGAGGGGUGGCGUGGCAAGCCCCUAAGAGGGAAUCCUCCUCCAUCUCACCCAGGCUAAACAGAGACAGAACAUUCAGACAGACCAGUGGGGCAGGGGAAUCUGCCGCACAUCCGCUGACAUACACAGAUGUAUACGGUAUUUUCAAGUCUGAUGAGAAAUGGUUUGGGUAUAUGUCAUUCCCCAGCACAGGCACCAAUAUCUUCCCAAGUAGUUUCCUUCCACUUUUACUAGUGCCUUCUCCCUGCCGUCCCCUCCAGGGUUCCUGCCGUUUCAUGCCAAUAAUUUAAUUACUCUCUUUGCAGAGGCUCAGUUCUACAGACAGCCUAAUUUGAGGUUUGCCUUACUCUUAAAUAUAUAUAUCGUUUCAAUGGAUUUAUGAAAGGGAGAAAAGAGUGCAGAAACAAUUAAGGCAUCAAAGACAAGCUCAUCCAAGCUCCCAAGGACAAAAAAAAAAAAAAAAAAAAAAAAAGAAAAAAAUGAAGGACCCAGCCAAGGACCUCCUCUUCCCUCUGUUCGUGCUCUCUGACAGUGACCAACACCAGGCUUUCUGGUCAAACAGCCUGAGCUCCUGGGCGGAUUUUCCUGGUGUUUUCAGCAGAAGGAACAGCUGUCCCGGGAUUUGCUGGUAUUCCCAGGGAGCUGGAACUGAAUUGUUGGCCAAACUGCAGAUGAUUCGUUUAAGGGUCGGAAUGAGAGACAGACAGGGCUUUCGGAGAUAAAUAAUGAACUCCACUGAGUUUCAGGCUGAAGAGAAGAGAGAGACCUGCGGCUGUUUCCGCCCACUCGUCCCAGCACAGCCACCAGAGAACGCCGCGUGGUUUGUUGUUUGGACCCUCCCAGAGCCUCUUCCAGAUGCUGUUGGAAAAAAAGAAAAGAAAAGCUGGGCAGCCAGUGUCACAGCCCAGAUGCCAUCUCGGUCUAUCCGCGGAAAUGCAAGCACGCAGCGCCAAGCCCAACCCAGUAGGUGCCAGGCCCUGGGUGCAGGCUUCAGCUUCACGCCACAUCCUCUCUCUCUUUUCAGUCUCUGAGUGACUUGACUCAGCCAGGGAGAGGAGAUACCUACACAUCCGCAUGAAGGCGCGUGGGAGGAAGCCGAGAAAUGACGGAUGGCGCAGGGCCUACUGCAGCCGCACGUAGACUAGCUCCUUCUUUACGGGCAAAACCCCCUACUUGUCUGCAGUGGGAAAGGAGUCCGUUCAGGGCAAGCUCUGAUCGCUGAGCUAUGGAUGUAGAUGGUAACUAGGCGUCUGGAGGUCAUUACACACCAUAUUCGGAUGGUGGAAAUCAUUGCUUAUUUCAGGACACUAAAAUGGUCCAUUUUUAUGUAUUAAAGUUAUUAAGAAUGAACUGGCUGGGCCGGAGUUGUGGCUCACUCCUGUAAUCCCAAGACUUAAGGAGGCGGAGGCGGAGGCGGAGGCGGGAGGAUCGUUUGAGGCCAGGAGUUCAAGACCAGACUGGGCAACAUAGUGAGAUACACACCCCACCGCCACCACCACCCCAACAAAAAACUUAACAAUUAGCUGGGCUUGUGGGUAUGUGACUUAGUCCCAGCUACUCCGGAGGCUGAGGUGGGAGGAUCACUGGAGUCCAGGAGCUCCAGGCUGCAGUGAGCUAUGUGAUUACACCGCUGCACUCUAGGCUGGGCAACAGAGGGAGACUCAAAAAAAAAAAAAAAAGAGCAAAUGGCUGGCUCACUGUAAGGAAUUUUGGAAUUUUAUCUGGUUAAAACAGGCUCUUCCCGCCCACUUCCUCACCCGCCUGGCUGUGCCUGCCCCAGUCCCACCCUGAGUGGUGGCUUACCCAGGUGUGGCCGCCCUGUGGUCAGCUCAGGAGGCAUCUCCGGGUGGGAAGGUGACUUAGUUGUCUCACAGUAAAGUUACACUGGGCCUCAGUAGAUAGUCUUUGGUCCCCUGUAUCAGCAUCCCCAGAGAGCUGUGCAAAUGCACAUUCCUGGCCCUAUGGCACUCUAAGCUGGACUCUGGGAGUGGCAGCUCAGAAGCUUUAGUAUAAGCAAGCUCCCGGCUGUUUCUUGUUGCAGAUUAGGGUUUGAGAACCACUCCUCUUUCGCCACAUUGUAAACUCACUAAAUGCUCUCCUAGUGAGUAAAUAAAUAUAAUAGAAUCUAACUCCUGCAAAGGUAUUAACCAGUCUGUCUAACAAUGGUGGACAUUUUUGUAAAGAAACUCUUGAAGUUUUCAAAACUUAAGUUUAAAAUGGCAGCUCCUUGGUUUGUGGGGAGAGCUGUCAGAGUGGGAACCCUGUCCACAUCCCCCCAGAUAUUCACAUACACCCACUACUCAUAGACUCCCAAUCCCAUGGCGAAGAACACGAUCUUGUUGGUGUUAUUUUCUCACUGCCUACCAAGCUGCCCAGCAGGCACUUUACAGACUUUAUCUCCAUAUUCAUAUCAGCGUACAAAGUACAAGUCCCAAUUUCCAGACAAGGAAACUGGGGUUCAGAAAGAUUAAACAAUUUGCCUUCUUAUAUUGCUACUAAGGGCCAAGGUGCAGAUUCAAAUCCAUUCAAGUCCCAAAGCUUGCAUGAUCUUACCACAGUCACCAAAAUCUAUUUCAUAAGUUCAAAAUGGCAUCAGAGGUUCAUAAUCAGGACAGGCAAUGCCCUGCAGGUUUAUCUAGAACACCUUUCCCACUUUACAGAUAAGAGGCAAUGCAGUAUGAACCUGAGGCUAGCUGAUAUGAUUUGUCUGAGCUGCUUAGUUUUGUUUAAGAAACUUGAAUUAUUCAAUAUUGAAAAUCCUUGAGAUUUUACACUAAAACUCAGACUUUUUCUCUCUUAUAAAAGCAGAUUUUUGUAACCCCGAACCCCAUUCCUGAUUCUGUUCAUGGUUAACUGUAUAGGUUUUGAAAUCCACAGACGUGGGUUUGAGUCCUGG
rnacentral:lncRNA from 1 species